AAAUCUCUACUUGGGCUAAUGGCCUUUCCUCUGAGUUCCCUUCUGCUGUCAUGAUCAACACAGUGAGUGCAAUAGGAGGAUCUCAAUAUGUGCUCCCAGGAUGACAUCAUUUAACUGGUGUUUUUUUCUGGAUAACUGGAUAACUAUGAUGGAAAAAACAACAGAAGAAGCAGAUUUUGACUGACAUUUUGAUGCAAUUGAUGUUAUGAGUAAAGAAGUGCUCAUUUUCCAAAACCUGAGGGUUCAGAGCCCCAUCUGGCAUUUGCAGCCCAAGUCUGAGGAAAUCUAAUGCGCAAGUGAAACUUCCAUCUGCCAUCUAUUAGGCUUCCUGUCUAAUGUUGCCUCUUUGGGAAAAAGGCACCUGGUUUUCCAAUAAGCCAUCUGGGGAAAGAGGGUGAAUGGGUCCGGUUCUCUGAUGGCUCUGGGGCACCACGUCGCUGAGGCCCGCAGGCAGGAAGCCCACUCCUCGUGAGAACAACCCCCAAGCCCUCCCCGUGAAUGUCAGCAAGGCCAUGACGAGGCACUCCUCUACCUACUCCAGGCUACCUCCAAGCCCCAGCACAAGCAUUUGACUUUGGAUCCGCUCACCUAGCCCCACCCCCUCUAGCGCUGGCUUUGGCCAGAGCGGACCUCCCACCCCAGCUCAGGCCUGGCCCUGGCGUCCUCAGCUGCUCACACAGGUUAGGCGUUCUCGCUUGUGUCCCACACAGACCUGCAUUCCUGCCUUCCUGCUGACCGAUGCACCUGUGCCCUGGAGUCCUGUCUCUCCACAUCUCUACUGUGUCUCUGAAAUCAAGGUUCUGUCUCUCAGAAGGCAAGGACGUUGGUUGGGCCAGGGCACAAAAUAGUGGUGGCAGGUGGGACGGGAGAGAGCCAGAUCCUGGGGUUGGAAGCAUGGUCUGGGGACCGUGGGUACUUGUGUGUUCCCUGACCUCAUGCAAGUCUCUGACCUGCUCUCAGGCUUGGUUUCUUCAUCCUAAAAAGUAGAUCGUACUAACACUGAAGGAAUAAUUAAAUAUUCUAUUUGAAGUCUUUGAGACCGGGCUGGCAAGCACAUGGAGCUUCUCAUUAGGAGCUUUUUUUUUAUUGCCGUGACACCAACAUACCUCCUGAAGAAAUGAAUCUCAGCAUUUGCCAUACCAAAAAGCUUUCAAAUCAAAUAUGCCUGGGAAAUGUUGUGAACUGAAGCUUACCCAAGGUCACAUGAGGUGGAGCUGCCAAAACUACUUAACGGCUCUGCUUCCAUUUUUCUGACCCACAAAAUGGGACCAAGAAUAGUCUCUUCCCCCUAUUAUAUUGUAAAUCAUGCGCCAUAUAUUAAACAUUGAGAAAAAUACCUGGCAUAUCACAUGUCAAGGAGAACUUUUACAACUAUUAUGACUACAACUCUUUAAUGAU